AUUGAACGCUGGCGGAAUGCUUUACACAUGCAAGUCGAACGGUAGAGGGGGCAACCCCUUGAGAGUGGCGAACGGGUGAGUAAUAUAUCGGAACGUGCCCAGUCGUGGGGAUAACGUAGCGAAAGUUACGCUAAUACCGCAUACGAUCUACGGAUGAAAGCGGGGGACUCGCAAGAGCCUCGCGCGAUUGGAGCGGCCGAUAUCAGAUUAGGUAGUUGGUGGGGUAAAGGCUCACCAAGCCAACGAUCUGUAGCUGGUCUGAGAGGACGACCAGCCACACUGGAACUGAGACACGGUCCAGACUCCUACGGGAGGCAGCAGUGGGGGAAUUUUGGACAAUGGACGCAAGUCUGAUCCAGCCAUUCCGCGUGCAGGAUGAAGACCCUCGGGUUGUAAACUGCUUUUGUACGGAACGAAAAGGUUUCUAUUAAUACUAGGAGCUCAUGACGGUACCGUAAGAAUAAGCACCGGCUAACUACGUGCCAGCAGCCGCGGUAAAGUGACU
rnacentral:rRNA from 1 species